rnacentral:tRNA from 1 species
UUCCUGAUGGUCUAGUGAUUAAGAUUCCGUGCUUCCAAUGCGGGGGCAUAGAUUCGAUCCCUGUUUGGAGAA